rnacentral:rRNA from 1 species
UACGAAGGGGGCUAGCGUUGCUCGGAAUGACUGGGCGUAAAGGGCGCGUAGGCGGCGGACACAGUCAGAUGUGAAAUUCCCGGGCUCAACCUGGGGGCUGCAUUUGAUACGUGUUUGCUUGAGUGGGGAAGAGGGUCGUGGAAUUCCCAGUGUAGAGGUGAAAUUCGUAGAUAUUCGCAAGAACACCAGUGGCGAAGGCGGCUCACUGGCCCGGUACUGACGCUGAGGUGCGAAAGCGUGGGGAGCAAACAGG